rnacentral:rRNA from 1 species
CCUUGAAAUACCACCCUUUAAUGUUUGAUGUUCUAACGUGGACCCGUAAUCCGGGUUGCGGACAGUGUCUGGUGGGUAGUUUGACUGGGGCGGUCUCCUCCUAAAGAGUAACGGAGGAGCACGAAGGUUGGCUAAUCCUGGUCGGACAUCAGGAGGUUAGUGCAAUGGCAUAAGCCAGCUUGACUGCGAGCGUGACGGCGCGAGCAGGUGCGAAAGCAGGUCAUAGUGAUCCGGUGGUUCUGAAUGGAAGGGCCAUCGCUCAACGGAUAAAAGGUACUCCGGGGAUAACAGGCUGAUACCGCCCAAGAGUUCAUAUCGACGGCGGUGUUUGGCACCUCGAUGUCGGCUCAUCACAUCCUGGGGCUGAAGUAGGUCCCAAGGGUAUGGCUGUUCGCCAUUUAAAGUGGUACGCGAGCUGGGUUUAGAACGUCGUGAGACAGUUCGGUCCCUAUCUGCCGUGGGCGCUGGAGAAUUGAGGGGGGCUGCUCCUAGUACGAGAGGACCGGAGUGGACGCAUCACUGGUGUUCGGGUUGUCAUGCCAAUGGCACUGCCCGGUAGCUAAAUGCGGAAGAGAUAAGUGCUGAAAGCAUCUAAGCACGAAACUUGCCCCGAGAUGAGUUCUCCCUGACUCCUUGAGAGUCCUGAAGGAACGUUGAAGACGACGACGUUGAUAGGCCGGGUGUGUAAGCGCAGCGAUGCGUUGAGCUAACCGGUACUAAUGAACCGUGAGGCUUAACCUUACAACGCCGAAG